UACGUAGGGGGGCAAGCGUUGUCCGGAAUCAUUGGGCGUAAAGCGCGCGUAGGCGGCCAGAUAAGUCCGGUGUGAAAGUCACAGGCUCAACCUGUGAAUGCCGCUGGAAACUGUCUGGCUUGAGUCCGGAAGGGGCGAGUGGAAUUCCUGGUGUAGCGGUGAAAUGCGCAGAUAUCAGGAGGAACACCAAUGGCGAAGGCAGCUCGCUGGAACGGUACUGACGCUGAGGCGCGAAAGCGUGGGGAGCGAACAGG
rnacentral:rRNA from 1 species